rnacentral:rRNA from 1 species
GAUGAACGCUGGCGGCGUGCUUAACACAUGCAAGUCGAACGGAAAGGCUCCUGCUUGCAGGGGUACUCGAGUGGCGAACGGGUGAGUAACACGUGGGUGAUCUGCCCUGCACUUCGGGAUAAGCCUGGGAAACUGGGUCUAAUACCGGAUAGGACCACAUUUUGGAUGGUGUGGUGGAAAGUUUUUCGGUGUGGGAUGAGCUCGCGGCCUAUCAGCUUGUUGGUGGGGUAAUGGCCUACCAAGGCAUCGACGGGUAGCCGGCCUGAGAGGGUGUACGGCCACAUUGGGACUGAGAUACGGCCCAGACUCCUACGGGAGGCAGCAGUGGGGAAUAUUGCACAAUGGGCGCAAGCCUGAUGCAGCGACGCCGCGUGGGGGAUGACGGCCUUCGGGUUGUAAACUCCUUUCGCUAGGGACGAAGCGUUUUUGUGACGGUACCUGGAGAAGAAGCACCGGCUAACUACGUG